GGCUGGGAAGGGAGUGAGGAGGAGUCCAUGUCUCUAUCCUACUCUGUCCAUUCCUGGUGUGC
rnacentral:precursor_RNA from 1 species